rnacentral:snRNA from 1 species
UCUGGUGUGAGCAGAGUCAG